rnacentral:rRNA from 1 species
UACGUAGGGGGGCAAGCGUUGUCCGGAAUUAUUGGGCGUAAAGCGCGCGCAGGUGGUUUCUUAAGUCUGAUGUGAAAGCCCACGGCUCAACCGUGGAGGGUCAUUGGAAACUGGGGAACUUGAGUGCAGGAGAGGAGAGUGGAAUUCCUGGUGUAGCGGUGAAAUGCGCAGAUAUCAGGAAGAACACCCGUGGCGAAGGCGGCUCUCUGGGACGGUACUGCGCUGAGACGCGAAAGCGUGG